UGGGUACUGCGGAGACAUUACUGAUUUGCUUAAUUGCACCACAUGUGUUUUUUAUUGAACAAAUUUCUUUGGUGGCGGGAGCAAUCCUACCGCCAGAGGUUAUAACUAAACCAAACUUUUUAUUUACAGUCAAACUUGAUUUAUUAUUACAAUAGUCAAAACUUUCAACAACGGAUCUCUUGGUUCUCGCAUCGAUGAAGAACGCAGCGAAAUGCGAUACGUAAUAUGAAUUGCAGAUAUUCGUGAAUCAUCGAAUCUUUGAACGCACAUUGCGCCCUUUGGUAUUCCAAAGGGCAUGCCUGUUUGAGCGUCAUUUCUCCCUCAAACCCCCGGGUUUGGUGUUGAGCAAUACGCUAGGUUUGUUUGAAAGAAUUUAACGUGGAAACUUAUUUUAAGCGACUUAGGUUUAUCCAAAAACGCUUAUUUUGCUAGUGGCCACCACAAUUUAUUUCAUAACUUUGACCUCAAAUCAGGUAGGACUACCCGCUGAACUUAAGCAUAUCAAUAAGCGGAGGAAAA
rnacentral:rRNA from 1 species